UACGUAGGGGGCAAGCGUUGUCCGGAAUUAUUGGGCGUAAAGAGCGUGUAGGCGGUCCGGUAAGUCAGCUGUGAAAGUCAAGGGCUCAACCCUUGAAAGCCGGUUGAUACUGUCGGGCUAGAGUCCGGAAGAGGCGAGUGGAAUUCCCGGUGUAGCGGUGAAAUGCGCAGAUAUCGGGAGGAACACCAACUGCGAAGGCAGCUCGCUGGGACGGUACUGACGCUGAGACGCGAAAGCGUGGGGAGCAAACAGG
rnacentral:rRNA from 1 species